rnacentral:piRNA from 5 species
UCCCUGGUAGUCUAGUGGUUAGGAUUC